ensembl:snRNA U2 U2 spliceosomal RNA
AUCACUUCUCGGCCUUUUGGCUAAGAUCAAGUGUAAAAUUGGUUUUUAUUAAAGAUUAAGAGUUUAGAAUAAGUUAAGUAAUAUUCAACCAAUUCAAUUGACAUUAAUUUAAAUCACUCUUU